rnacentral:rRNA from 1 species
UUAAGCCAUAAGUGAAAACUUGACUUAGUUAAGGUUUUUAGGGCCGGUAAAACUCGUGCCAGCCACCGCGGUUAUACGAGAGACCCAAGUUGACAACCCAACGGCGUAAAGCGUGGUUAGGCACCCCCCCCCCACUAGGGCUAAACACCCUCAAAGCCGUUAUACGCACAUGAGGGCUUGAAGAUCUACUACAAAAGUGGCCCUAAAACCUACUGAACCCACGAAAGCUACAAAACAAACUGGGAUUAGAUACCCCACUAUGUGUAGCCGUAAACCUUGAUGGUAACCUGUACCCUUCCAUCCGCCUGGGAACUACGAGCGCUAGCUUAAAACCCAAAGGACUUGGCGGUGCUUUAGACCCCCCUAGAGGAGCCUGUUCUAGAACCGAUAACCCCCG